rnacentral:lncRNA from 9 species
CUGAAGAUAAAUCAGGUGAGGCCCCAUCCAGCCCGCUCCUCCACAGGCAGCUCCUAUUUAUUUCCCCACCUGAAGCCCUCUCGCCCUUCCAAGAGACAGGAGUCAGAUGAGAUUAAUGGAAAUGCUUCAAAGAUUUCACCAGAAAGCAUAAUGGCUUGGUUUGAAAUACAUCUUAUAAAAAAUAAAAACAGACAACAACAACAACAACAAACUGAGGUCUGGAUGAUGGGAUGAGCCAGCCACACCAAAAGGCAGGGGAAGAGCAUUUCAUUUAGCGGUAAGUCAAGAAAGAAAAGGGCGACCAGUGUGAAGCCUUGGUGACUGUGGGGCAGGUGGAUGG